CCCGCUGUACUUAAGCAUAUCAAUAAGCGGAGGAAAAGAAACUAACAAGGAUUCCCCUAGUAACGGCGAGUGAAGCGGGAUGAGCUCAAAUUUAAAAUCUGGCUGGUUUACUAGUCCGAGUUGUAGUUUAAAGAAGCGUUUUCGGCGGCAGUCUCGGUAAAAGUCCUUUGGAAUAGGGAUAUCACAGAGGGUGAGAAUCCCGUCUUUGACUGAGAAUAUGCUACUAUGUGAUACGUUUUCAAAGAGUCGAAGUUGUUUGGGAAUGCAGCUCAAAAUGGGUGGUAAAUUUCUUCUAAAGAUGAAUAUUGUCGAGAGUCCGAUAACAAAAAAGUUCCGUGAGGGAAAGAUAAAAUGAACUUUGAAAAGAGAGUUAAACAGUGCGUGAAAUUGUUGAAAGGGAAACGCUUGAAACCAGUCAUGCGGCUGGGAAAUCAGUCUCUGACGCGGGGGAAUGGUAGAGAUGUGGCCCGCAAGGCUGCUGUCUUGCAUAUCUUUUUCGGCAGCGAUGCACUUUUUCUUCCGCAGGUCAUUAUCAGUUCGCUAUGCCGGACAAACCUCUUGGGAAGGUGGCAGCUUACGCUGUGUGAGAGCCCUGCGAGCGAUCUGGUGGAGCGGUAUGAGGUUUUCGCAGCAGGUGCUCUCGCGCAAGGCUGAUUGGGUGCUAUGAGAUCGUUCAGGGUACACAUACAUGUAUUUUCCCUUGUGUCUUUUUUAUACUACGCUACAACUCGGCUCUUCCACUGCUUAGGAUGUUGACAUAAUGGUUGUAAUCGACCCGUCUCGACACACGG
rnacentral:rRNA from 1 species